rnacentral:rRNA from 1 species
UGCCAGCCGCCGCGGUAAUACGAAGGGUGCUAGCGUUGUUCGGAAUUAUUGGGCGUAAAGAGCAUGUAGGCGGACUGUUAAGUCUGGCGUGAAAGCCCGGGGCUCAACUCCGGGACGCCGGUCGAUACUGUUGUGACUAGAGUUCGGUAGAGGUGAGUGGAAUUCUCAGUGUAGCGGUGGAAUGCGCAGAUAUUGAGAGGAACACCAUUAGCGAAGGCGACUCACUGGGCCGAUACUGACGCUGAGGAGCGAAAGCGUGGGGAGCAAACAGGAUUAGAUA